GGGGAAGAGAUAAGAUGAGGGAGAGAGUCUUGUGUGGCCCACCAGCCCACUUGUCGUGCAGGGGAGGCCGCAUGAAAAAUCAGCUGGCUGAGCCGAAUCAUUUUCCUUUAGGAAACUGCAGCGAGCUAUCCUUCCCCAGUCCUCCCUCGCCUCCUUCCCCCCCGGCGGCCAUCAACGAGUAUACAUUCAUUUGGUCACCCUUUUCCCUGGGCCCUUCGGCUGGUAUUCCAUCCAUCUUCCGAAACAUGGGACGUCAAAGCUAAACACUCCUGGGAGAUAUAUGAUACCAUGGCGAGCAAGUUACAACAUAUGAGUGUGAUACCAAGGGAAUUUACCCUCCAAUAUCUGGAACAGAUUACAGAUAACUUCUCCGAGGGCCACAUAAUUGGUCGUGGUGAGCAUGGAGUAGUUUACAAGGGAGUGCUGGAUAAUGGGGAAGAGAUUGCUCUGAAGAAGUUAUAUCAUAUGCCAGAGCUUGAUGACACACAAUUCAGGAAUGAGUUAAAUAACCUUGUGAGAGCCCGGCAUCAAAAUAUUAUCCGGUUGAUUGGUUACUGUUGUAAUAUUGGGCAUAAACGUGUUAAACACGAUGAUGAAUAUACCUCUGCAGUAGUGGAAGAGAGAUUUCUCUGCUUCGAAUACUUGCAGGGCGGAAGCUUGGACAAGUAUAUUUCUGAUGAAUCAUGUGCACUUGAUUGGCUCACAUGUUUCAAAAUCAUUAAGGGGGUAUGUGAAGGUUUGAAUUACCUUCAUAAUGGAACCAAUGAUCAUAUAUUCCAUCUGGAUCUAAAACCUAGCAAUAUAUUGCUAGACAAGAAUAUGAUGCCCAAAAUAGGAGAUUUUGGUUACUCGCGACUCUUCCCUUCAGCACAGACAUAUGUCACAACUGAAGCUACAGAACAGACACGGGGAUACAAGCCACCAGAAUACAUCAAUAAAGGAGAAACUACAUCAAAAUUUGACAUAUUCAGUUUGGGCGUUAUAAUAAUAGAAAUAAUAGCAAGGUUUAUUGGCUAUUCUCGCCGCUCAGACAUGCCUUUUCAAGAUCUUUUUGAUUUCGUACAUCUAAACUGGAAGAACAAGUUGGUGGCAAUGACGUCGUGUGAUACAUCACGACAAGUUAGGGUAUGCUUAGAAAUGGCGUUAAGAUGUUCGGAGGACGACCAAAUGAAAAGACCUCCUAUAGCCGAGAUUGUCAAGGAGCUGAAUAAAUUAAACACUGCCGAAAGUUCUUUUACAGGCGAGGCGGAGAUGGAGGACCGGGGCUCUGAAUGGCUUCAUGCAGCGAUGGAGCUUCCUGUUUCCGCUUCGCUCGGCCCUAUAGGAUCCCUGUUCCGGAAACUCCAUUCAUUUAAGGCUACCAAGGAAAUUCUGCCAGCGGGGGUUAAUGAAGGUGAGAUCCACAGUCUCAAAAAAGAGCUCAAGGAAUUAUGCAUCUCGCUCAUGGGUCUGUCAGAGGCCAAUGACACCAGCUUAACGGCCAAGUACUGGAUGAAGGAGGUGCGUGAAGUCUGUUAUGAUACAGAGAAUUACUUUGACAAGCUUAUAAUGCAGCCCAGUAAUGGCAGUAAUGUGCGUUGGAUUCACAAACUGCUGAAAAGACGGCCCCAGAUUGCAAUUGAUUUCUCAACAUUAGUGGCUCGUGUGGCCGAUGCCCGUGAAAGACGUGGACGACUCGUCAAAUGGAACACAAAUAAUGAAAACAUCGAACAAGAAAGUGGACAAGCUUGUACCACUCCAGCCGUUGCUAGUUCCUCCACAUUGUCUCUCCAAACGCCGGUACUGGUUGCCUGUGUCAGGAGGCCCGAGCUGACCCUCAAACUGUCGGUGCCAGCUGCUGCACACAUGGACAAUCUCGUCAACCUCCUGGCAUUCGACGACCAAAAACAGAAACGACUCAAGGUAGUAUCUAUUUUUGGGUUUGCGGGUGUUGGAAAGACAACAGUUACCAGGACCUUAUAUCGUAAGUUUGGAGGAAAAUUUGACUGUCGGGCUUUUCUACGGAUGUCUCGGCAGCCGGAUAUAAGGAGGCUUCUCACCAGCAUGCUCUCCCAAAUCAAGGCACCUCCGGCCCACGCCUAUGCUGAUGUGCAAGUGCUCGUUGCCAAUAUCAGGACACAUCUAGAACACAAAAGGUACUUCCUAAUAAUUGAUGAGUUAUGGACUCCAUCUGUAUGGAACACUAUUAGGCGUGCUUUUCCUGAUGGCAACUGUUGCAGCAGAGUCAUAACCACCACACAAAAUGAGGAUGCGGCUUUGGCCUGCUGUAGCUAUCAGUCAAAGUACAUAUUUGAAAUGACAUCAGUUAGUGGUUAUCAAUCAGCAGAAUUAUCAUCCACUGGAGUCUCUGACUCGGGGUGUGCUUCUCGUCAAGAUUUUGAAGAACUUUCUUAUGGGGUUAUCAUGACAUCCGGUGGCUUACCGUUAGCAAGUGUUAACACCGGCAGUAUAACUGAACCAAACCUCGUAAAGGAGCAAUGGGAGCAGAUACAAGAUUCUCUGUCCUCUACUUUGAGUGCAAACCCUACUUGUGAAGUGAUCGAAGAAGUCCUAAACCUUAUUUACAAUAGUCUUCCACGUCACUUGAAGACAUGCUUGCUCUAUCUUAAUAUGUAUCCAGAGGGAUACACGAUCUGGAAGUAUGUUCUUGUAGGCCAGUGGAUUGCAGAAGGUUUCAUUGGGGUCACUCGAAGAAAAAAAGGUUUUGUGGGUGCAGUAAAACAGCAAGACAAAGAGGAAGAUGAAGUAGAAGAACAAGUUAGUGUUGCUCAGGGUUAUUUCAUUGAGCUUGCUCGUAGAGGAAUGAUCCAAGCUGUAGACACCAAUGAUGAAGGUGAAGUAUUAUCAUGUACAGUCCACCACAUGGUAUUGGAUCUUAUUAGGCGCAAAUCCAUGGAGGAUAACUUCGUCACUACUGUGGACAAAUUUCCAUCAGCUCUAGUCCUUCCUGACAUGGUUCGUCGACUGUCCAUCCAGUUUGGAGAUGCAAAAGCUGCAAAGAUACCAGAAAACAUGUUUUUGUCCCAAGUUCUAUCACUUUUAUACUUUGGAUCUUUUGAAUGUGCACCUUCCACUGGGGAUUAUGUGUUUCUUCAAGUUCUGAAUCUUCAUAUCUGGGCAGAUCAAGAAAAGACUUUUGACCUUACUACAAUAUCAAAACUAUGCUGGUUAAAACAUUUUAAGGUCGAAUGUAAUACCACCGUCAACCUUCCAGCCAAGGUUCAGAUGCUUCAAAACUUAGGAACACUGGAAGUGGAUGCUCCGCUAUCUGUUGUUCCAUCGGAUAUUUUUGCUUUGAAGAGUCUGUUGCACCUAUGCCUUCCAAGCCAGGUUACUCUGCCUGAUGGGAUUGUACACAUGACAUCACUUCGCCGCCUAGGGGAUUUUAGCCUCAACACUAACUCAACCGACAAUGUGCUGGGACUAGGCAAGCUUAUUAAUCUAUGGGAUCUUCGGCUGACAUGUUCCACAGUAAAACCUGGGGGUCUGAUUGGGAACAUGAAGCAUUUUGGCUCAAUUCUAGGGGAUUUCGAGCAACUCAAGUCUCUAAUUAUUGACUCUGAAACUCCGAAUGUGGGUAUUUCUUGUGACUGCCUAAGCAGUGUUUCCUGUGGUCCGGUCCUUCUUGAAAGAGUUGAGUUCCCACGGAAUUUCAUCUUUCCAAGCCUUCCCAAGUGGUUCGGAGAUUUGGAGAAACUCUGCAUUUUGAAGGUAACUGUUAGGGAGACAUCGACGGAAGAUAUUAAUAUCCUUAAAGGGUUGAAUGCCCUCACUUCUCUCUCAAUCUAUGUAUCCAUCACACCAAAAGCAAGGAUCGUCUUUGACAAGGAGGGGUUCACAGUUCUCAAGUAUUUCAAGUUCACGUCUGCUGCACUAUGUCUGACCUUUGAUUUAGGAGCAAUGCCAAAGAUCAAAAGGCUUAAGCUAAGGUUCGAUGCUAAUAAAUUUGAGCAAAGUGACAUUCGACAAGCCAGCAUCGACAACUUGUUAGGCCUUAAAGAGGUUUCUGCAAAAAUUGGAAUCCUCGGUACUAUUGAAUCGGGAACCAAAGUUGCCUUAUUGAUGGCCAUCUUCGGAACACAUCCAAGUAGACCAAUCAUCAAUGUGCAAUCGGUGGAUAGGACAUUUGGUGGAAAGAGCAAUGUGCGUCUAAGCACCAUGUUAUUUGAUACCCGGUCUAUUGUGGCACCAGACAUCUCUUCUCCUAUGCAAAUUUUAGGGGAAGUCACAGAAAAUGAGACAAAAACAGAGUCUACACUAGAGGCUACAUUUAGCAAGCUAGAAGGAGAACACAUUAUUACUUUAGAGAUCUCAGAGGAAGUCUCUGAUGAACAUCAUGGAAUUCAAGUAAAGGAUUCCUAGGAAGAUGAUAACACAGAAUAUGAUAGCAGGAAUUAUCUACCACCGAGUUCCAUUUCGCAUCUUCAGGAUCCAGUAACUGAAACUGAUCUAGGGGGCGUUGGAGAUAAAGGGACACAUACUGAGUCUAUAGUAGAGGUUACACUUAGCAAGUUUCCAGAAGAACGCCAUAUAAAAUUUGAGAUCUCAGAGGAAGGCUUUGACGACCAAUUUGGAAUUCAAGGAAGGAACACAUGGGAAGAUGAUAACAUGGAAGCUACCAGGACUUCUGUGCCACAAGUUUCCAUUUCAUAUCCACAAGAUUCAUGGGCAGCAAGCUAGCAGGGUGAUGCAUAUCUCAUCCACACACCAGCCGCCACUGACAAAUCAAAUGGCGACAUCCAACAUAGAUUCAGACGGGAAGUUAUACGAGCUGAAAGAUCAACUUGUGCUGCUGGCCACUUUGGUGGCGAUGGUGACCUACCUCUCCGGGCUCAACCAGCCGGGGGGAGACUGGAAGCCGCAGGAGGAGGGUGGGCACGUCACGGGCGACCCGAUCCUCCGGGACACUCACAACCAUCGGUACCUCAUCUUCAACUACUGCAAUGCCACGGCGUUCGUAUCGUCGGUCGUUGUCUGCCUUAUUCUGGUCAUGCUGCGGAGGAACAGCAAGGUCUGGACGGUGCUGCUAUGGGUUGUCAUGUUGCUCGACCUAGUCGCUCUCAUGUGUUCCUACGGCGGCGGGGCCAGCCGCUACGCCUUGACCACUAUCUUUGUCAUGGCACUCGCUUCUCCCAUCUUGGCCUACAUUGUGUAUACUUUUAUAGGCUACCUCAGUCUGACCAGCCACCCGGACAACAUCAUGAACCCAAGAAAUACAAACACGGGUUACCAAGAGAAGGAGAAGAUCGAAGUGCUGAUGCUGCUGGCGACCUUCGCCUUCACGAUCUCGUAUGCCUCCGGGCUGAACCCUCCUGGUGGUUUCUGGAGGAGCACCCAGAAGCAGGAGGACGGCCGCCUUCUUCACCUCGCCGGAGACCCCAUCAUACAUGACAGGGGGCUCCGGAGGUACCAGGCCUUCUUCAUGUGCAACACCACGGCGCUCGUCGCCUCCUUGCUCAUCAUCCUGCUACUCCUCGACAAGAAGCUGAACAGGACCAUCUCGGCGCGGUUCCUGGCGGUCUACGGCUUAAUCGCCGUCGCACUCAUGGGCCUUAUGGGGGCGUAUGCUGCUGGGGCCUCCAGGGACACCCUCGAUACCGCCAAGGUCAUUUCCCUAUCCGCUGCGGUUCCUGCGUGCGUAUUCCUGCAGCUGGCUCUUAAUAACGUCUUCCGUUGGGAAGUAAUCAAGAACAUGCGUGAUACUUUCUGCCUAUGGUCGAGGAAAUCAAGUUCCGCAGGUGACGAGGCACUUGCGGACCCAGCCUUGAAAAAUACUUGCUUUUUCGCUAUGGUACUUGCUAGCUUCGCGGUAUGCAUCACUUACCAAGCAGCACUGGAUCCACCGGGCGGACUUUGGCAAGACAACCUGGAUGGGCAUAAGAUCGGCCAGCCGGUGCUACAGACGACAAAUCCUGCACGUUACUGGCUGUUCUUCUACAGCAACUCAGCAGUUUUCGUGACAUCUCUGUUAGUGGUCAUGAUGGUACAGAGCAAGUUCCUGCUCACGCUCCGCACUUUGGUGGCAUCCAUGGUACUGGACCUGAUCGGCCUCGUCAUCGCCUACGCCGCCGGGAGUGCCAGAGAUGCAAGCACGUCCAUCUAUUUCGUCGCCAUGAUUGGACUCGUCUUGGUCUACGCCGUUGUCCAUAUCGUAUUCUUUAUCGGAGGAGUGAACGAGAAUGUCGUUGCUGAAGCUGAACAAGAGAAGCUGGAGGACAAGCGUCAGGUGCUGCUGCUAAUCGUCAUCUUGGUGGCGGCGCUCACCUAUCAAGCUGGGCUGACCCCGCCGGGCGGCUUCUGGCCAGCGAAUGACGAGAAGCUUGGUCAUCGCGCGGGAUACCCGGUCCUUGUCGAUACCUAUCCGCACCGCUACACGGCCUUUUUGUACUGCAACGCGGCGAGCUUCAUGGUGUCGGUGGCUCUCAUCCUCCUCGUGAACCACAAGCUGUACUGGCCGGCGCUUCGAUGCAAGGCGCUACACGUGUGUAUGGCGGUUGGCAUGCUCGCGCUCAUGGGUGCCUAUGCUUCCGGGAGCUCCCGCGACCUCAAGAACUCCAUCUACAUGCUGAUGUUGGUGGUCGCGGUGUCGGUCUCCCUACCCCUACGGUUAGCCAUCUUCUGGUACAUCCGGCCCCACAGGUACAGUAUCCGCCUCCAGGACGGACCUAGAACAAGACGGCAAAGAGUGCGUGGCCUAGGUGGCAUCGACAAGGAGAAAGACGAGGAGAUUGAGUACCUAAUGUUGCUAGGGAUCCUGGCUGCGAGCGUGACGUACCAGAGCGGCCUGAGACCUCCGGGUGGCAUGUGGCAGGAGGACAGCGGCGCCUACUUCGCGGGCAACCCGAUCCUACACGACGUCGUCAAGCGCCGGUACGACAUCUUCUUGUACAGCAACUCUGCUUCGUUCAUGGCGUCCGUCCUCACCAUCGUCAUGCUGCUCCCGUUGACGCUUACCAACCUAGAGUGGCUACGGCGCUGCUUACCAUUCCACGCGGCAGACCUCAAGUGGCCAAUUUGGCCGGUCUACACGGCCAUUCUGCUGGACAUGCUCGGCCUGCUCGUGGCCUACACGGCAGGAAGUACCAGGGAUUGGGAGUCAACCAGGAAUGUCAUAUGCAUCAUUGUCCCCAUACUACUCUACAUUGCGGCUUACGCCGCGGUACCGAUCUGGAUGGACACCCGUAGGAAACAUCCUAGAUCUCCCCAGUCGUUAAGCAUGGAAUCAGGCCGACAAAUGCUGCCCCUGUUUAGUAGCUAGCCAAUGAUGAAUCUCCCUCUACAAUAUAGCGGCUAUUGUGUAUUUUUUGUCGAAAAAAGACUGUAAAUCACCAAGUGGAUCCAACUUUUACGUUGUUGUGUUCGUGUAUCUGUCAACACUGUUCGUGCUGGAUAUGACGAGGCAUUGUAUCAUGUCAUCGCCACACUUUAGAGAUAUUUUCUUCUCAC
rnacentral:rRNA from 1 species